rnacentral:lncRNA from 1 species
AAAAAAAAAAAAAAAAAAAAAGUCUGCUAAGUUGAAAACCUGAAAAGGUGAUUUAGGCAAAAGUUAGGACAUAUGCUCGCAAGAUUAAAUCUUUCUUUUAGUCUUGGAAAAAGUUAGAGUGUAAAUAUAUAUAUAUAUAUAUAUAUAUAUAUAUAUAUAUAUAUAUAUAUAUAAUAAAAUAAAAUGGAACUACGUUUGACUUGAUCCCCUCUCUUUGAAGGGUACGUAGGCAACUCAGGGAAACCAUUUGAGUUCAGUCACUACCAAAAAAAAAAUUCUCAUUUUUAUUAAUAAAUAAAUCUAGCUAACAAAUGCUAGACUUUAUUACAUCUUAAUAAAAAUAAAAUAAUGAAUAAAGGAAAAGAAUGAGAGCUAAAACUAAGUAAAAAGGUACAACGAUCACAUCCACACCAAGCAUGCAAGCUCAUCGCGUUGAGUCUUUAAGGUUUCUUGAAGUGUCUCUAAAGUCUUGACAUCGACAUCAGUAAGCACGGGGGUUUGGGCGAUAAUGACGUGUUCUUUCCGCAAACGAGAAACAUCACUCUAUUUAUUGGAUAUAACCUCAUCGAUCUCCAAGAUUGAGUUGUGAAGGCGUUCCUUUUGUAUACCUAGUUGCUCCAAUUCCUUCUUAAGUGCUUUUUGUCUAGCAUCAAGAGUGGCUAAGUCAACCUUUAAUGAUUGAUGAUGGUUCACUUGUACACCUUCAGAGUUUAGAGCAUCCACAAUCUGAGACGUAAUAAUAGCUAAACGUUCGCUUUGUACUUCCGAAGAUAUCUUCAUAGAAUGGGUGCGUUGCACUGCCUCGAGGUGAUCUACACUUUCCAUGUACUUUUCAAUCUGAGACUUUAAUGGUGAAGGGUCCACUCCAAUCUUCAUGAUAGCAUCAAGAGGCUCAUCAAUUUUUCCUCUCAAUAAUGGGAGACAUUCAUUGGGAGUUUUGAUAAUCAUCUCCUUAAUGUCUUUUCCUAUCAUAAGUGCUACUUGGCGUUGGGCAUUAAGGAUGAUUUGUUCGACGUCAAAUGUGUGAGUGGAAGUAGAAAAAGCAACCACAGUAGGGCAUGGAGAUUGUUGUUCAACAAUUAAACCUGCAACUCCUAACAGUGUCAAUUCAUCAUAUGUUGUAUCUCCAAUUGUGGUCUUUUGACCUUGAGAUUCAAUCAGAACAUCACUUAAGAUGUUAGUAAUACCUUCAUCACCCAAAUGAGAAUGAGGCAAAAGUAAUGGGGUGAUAGAGUGAUUGUCUAGUGGCAUAGUCAAUGUACAGGGCGUUGACUUCCUAGUAGCAACAACAUUUUUUAACCGAUCCUUAGAAGAGGACUCAUCCCCUUCAUCGACAAAUUGGUUGUCACCCGCCACGUAAGGCAAAUAUUUAGUUUUGUUAGUAUCAAUGCUAAAAAAAAAAAAAAAAAGUACCUCUUCACCAUCAAGUUCUAUUGGUUGAGUAUAAGUUGGGACGUCAGCAAAGAAGACAUCUGCAUCAAGAGGAUAAGAGUUGGUCUCAUCAUAGUACACAGGGUUGGGUCUAAUCUUUCGACGCUUGAAGUGACAUUCACUUGUAUUUUCAGAGUCGUUGUCUGAUACAUAAAGACCCUGUGCAUUGUUAUGUUGCUUAAAAUUAUUGUGACAAUGAGUGCUACCACCAUUGAAAAUAGUUUCCUCAUGCUUUGAGUGUGUAGAGGCAUUAGUUCGAUGUCCACCCAUUGAACGCUUAGAAGAAGCUCUUGAAUCAU